AUUGAACGCUGGCGGCAGGCCUAACACAUGCAAGUCGAGCGGAUGAAGGGAGCUUGCUCCUGGAUUCAGCGGCGGACGGGUGAGUAAUGCCUAGGAAUCUGCCUGGUAGUGGGGGAUAACGUCCGGAAACGGGCGCUAAUACCGCAUACGUCCUGAGGGGGAAAGUGGGGGAUCUUCGGACCCCACGCUAUCAGAUGAGCCUAGGUCGGAUUAGCUAGUUGGUGGGGUAAAGGCCUACCAAGGCGACGAUCCGUAACUGGUCUGAGAGGAUGAUCAGUCACACUGGAACUGAGACACGGUCCAGACUCCUACGGGAGGCAGCAGUGGGGAAUAUUGGACAAUGGGCGAAAGCCUGAUCCAGCCAUGCCGCGUGUGUGAAGAAGGUCUUCGGAUUGUAAAGCACUUUAAGUUGGGAGGAAGGGCAGUAAGUUAAUACCUUGCUGUUUUGACGUUACCAACAGAAUAAGCACCGGCUAACUUCGUG
rnacentral:rRNA from 1 species